CUCCCGGCGCUAGUGCAGACUAGACCAAUGCGAUGGGCGUAGCCAACGAAGAAGGACAAUUGGCAUCCUUGACUACCCCUGCUCUCAUUUGCCGAAGAAGUCACGUCGGUCUUCCCGGUUAAACUUUGUAGAGAAUAGCGGCGUUUGCUUCACGUUCAGAUCCUAAACUCCAGAUCCCCGUUCAGAGCUGGCUACCUACAAACCCUCCCGACCACCUCUCCUGAGCUGGGUGCUUGGGACCUAGGAAAAGCAGGUCUUGCCACAGACUUGUCUUCGUCCACACUCUGCCCUAUCGUCAAGGCCUGGUCCCACAGGUCACAACUUCCGUUCAAAUCAGUGCCCCCCACCCACCCCCAAUUUCCCACUGCAAGGGUAAAUUUGAAAGUUUUUCAGGCGAUUCCUUGGAUGUAGCAGUACUCUGAGCUCUCUCACUGGAAAGAAGGAACUGAUGUCCACCCCCACCUUCGAAGGUCCUCUAGGAGCCCCUAGACACUUCAGUGGUCUACUGUAGCUACUAAAAAUGUAGCUGGUUGUAACACGGGGAGAGCCAGAGUCCGAGGACCUGAUUUCCAAUUCUGACUUGGCUAACAUCACAUCACUACCCAUUUCAAAUUCUCCCUCUGUAAAAUGGAAAAUUGGAUUAGAUCUCUUAGGACUUCAAACAGUAACUGUGGUUUUAUUUAAAAAAAAAAAUAAUAAUAAAUAGGUAGCUUCUUGCUGGAGAUUCCUGGAUGGAUCCCAGUCUUCCCAAGAGGUAACAAAGGAGAGGUAACCAGUUGCCAGUGCAGUAGCUCAAGAAUACAGAAGAGAAACUGGCUUCAUUCCCUAUUCCAUCUUUCUCCAAGGUGGCAAACUCUAUGCCUCCUCCCGAGAGAAAAGCCUAACCACAGGUUCUAAUGGACAAGAGCUUACUGUAGCUAGUCAGAAAGGCCUAUAUUCAGGAGUCCAAGAGUAAUUGCUCAGUUUCCUAAGUAGAGAAUACGGCUAGUCCCCUUUGGGUCUUGGAUAGGUUAAGAGCACAGAUUUGAACAUGCCUGGGCCUAAGUGAGGUGUGGGAAAAUAGCAGCAGGGGGCAGCAGCGUAGUGCAGGAAAGGGCUAUAACUUUAUUUCUAUUUCCUCUUACACAAAACCAUCGAAACAAGAACAGAGAAGGGCUGAAAUUCUGUUCAAAUCCCAUGUUCUCAGGGAUAUUCCAGGGAGCUCUCGAGGCUGUGCGUAGCUUCAAAUCCAACACUAAUUCCUCACCCCCUGGCCUGAGGUCUUCAGAUUGGUGGCUUGAGCCCUGCAAUUAAUUAUAAUCCCUUGCCCACCUUGAUGUAAGGCAGGAAAGCAGAUUGAAACGCUUCUCUCUGACGGGCAAGGGGAAUCACAGCCCAUAGCUGUACUGCACCUUCUGUGCUACAGGAGCAGAACCUGAAGCUGCUUCCAAGGCUCUGGACACUUGCACGGAGGGCUAGAGGCCAAUGGUAUACGAGCGGCCUGUGGGGUUGUGAAUAGCAGAACAAACUGGUGCUGUCACAGCCCACUCAUACCACACCUUCUUGGAACUGCUGCAUCGCCAGAAACGCACACAGAUGGUCUGGCCUUCACGUACCGUUAUGGGCUGCUGUAAGAAGAAAGACAGGGAGGGUCAGGGUGGAGCUAAUAAAUAUGUGGCAAUGUAUUAAGCAGAGAAAAACAAUUGAUGCAAAUACAGAAAAAAUAAGAGGACUAAAGAGUACCGCUCUUUCCAGAGAGAGUGGUUCUUUACCUCAGGGUCACGGUCCUUCUCCCUACAGGCUCGGACCUCAUUGUACAGUUUGGAGGAGGAGAUGGGAGCCAGGAAGGAAGUGUACGCUCCGGGGAUGCUCACACCAUCAUCUGCAUAGCAGGAAACUCAAAUUAGUUCCAGAGGGAGGGAAAUGGUAUGUCUGUACUAACCGAAGGAUCAAACCUCCCAUGUCAAACUGACCAAUGUUGGCAUGGGCAUGGAAGAAAGGCAAAGGCAUGUUGUCACAUUACUAAGCCAGCCUGCUUCUAGCUACUGUCAGGAAGGAUUCUACUUUUAGGUUAAUUUACAGAGUCACAGAUUAAAACUGAAAGAACCCAA